AAAAAAUAUCGAGUAUUUUCGGAGUUGCUAAUUUUAAACUUGCGUAUGAUAACCACCCGCUAGUUGCGUGCCCCUAGUUGCGCCUACAGUACUUGCGGUGCUGUACAUUUGACGUAUUCUAUAUUUCGUUUGUUUUUUUUUUUUUUUGAUUUCGUCGUGACUCGUAUAGAUAAAUAAAAACACGAUUUUAACUAACCCUACGUUUU